CCCUUAGAUGUCCUGGGCUGCACGCGCGCUACACUGAUGUGUCCAGUAAGCACCUAACCUCUUCCGAAAGGAACGGGUAACCUUUGCAAAGCACAUCGUGAUGGGGAUAGAUUAUUGCAAUUAUUAGUCUUGAACGAGGAAUUCCUAGUAAGCACAAGUCAUCAGCUUGUGUUGAUUACGUCCCUGCCCUUUGUACACACCGCCCGUCGCUCCUACCGAUUGAAUGUUCCGGUGAGCUCUUCGGACUGCGCGGUCUGAAGUUUCUGCGUUCCGUGCGGAAAGUUGCGCAAACCUUAACAUUUAGAGGAAGGAGAAGUCGUAACA
rnacentral:rRNA from 1 species